AGUGAACGCUGGCGGUAGGCCUAACACAUGCAAGUCGAACGGCAGCACAGUAAGAGCUUGCUCUUACGGGUGGCGAGUGGCGGACGGGUGAGGAAUACAUCGGAAUCUACUUUUUCGUGGGGGAUAACGUAGGGAAACUUACGCUAAUACCGCAUACGACCUACGGGUGAAAGCAGGGGAUCUUCGGACCUUGCGCGAUUGAAUGAGCCGAUGUCGGAUUAGCUAGUUGGCGGGGUAAAGGCCCACCAAGGCGACGAUCCGUAGCUGGUCUGAGAGGAUGAUCAGCCACACUGGAACUGAGACACGGUCCAGACUCCUACGGGAGGCAGCAGUGGGGAAUAUUGGACAAUGGGCGCAAGCCUGAUCCAGCCAUACCGCGUGGGUGAAGAAGGCCUUCGGGUUGUAAAGCCCUUUUGUUGGGAAAGAAAAGCAGCAGGUUAAUACCCCGCUGUUCUGGCGGUACCCAAGGAAUAAGCACCGGCUAACUUCGUG
rnacentral:rRNA from 1 species